rnacentral:rRNA from 1 species
UUUAGGCAAAUCCGUUUAGACAAUGCUAGGAUGUGAUGGGGAAGCCCUUCGGGGCGAAGUAGCUGAUUUCACACUGUCAAGAAAAGCUUCUAUCGAGUUUAAAGGCGCCCGUACCGUAAACCGACACAGGUGGGUGAGGAGAGUAUCCUAAGGCCAGCGAGAGAACUAUUGUUAAGGAACUCGGCAAAAUGACCCCGUAACUUAGGGAGAAGGGGUGCCUGUCUAUGACAGGCCGCAGAGAAUAGGCCCAAGCGACUGUUUACCAAAAACACAGGUUUCUGCUAAGUCGCAAGACGAUGUAUAGGAGCUCACGCCUGCCCGGUGCUGGAAGGUUAAGGGGAUCUGUUAGAGCAGUCGAAGCAGUGAACUUAAGCCCCAGUAAACGGCGGCCGUAACAAUAACGGUCCUAAGGUAGCGAAAUUCCUUGUCGGGUAAGUUCCGACCCGCACGAAAGGCGUAACGAUUUGGGCACUGUCUCAACAAUAGACUCGGUGAAAUUGUAAUCCCGGUGAAGAUGCCGGGUACCUGCGACAGGACGGAAAGACCCCAUGGAGCUUUACUGUAGCUUGACGUUGGGUCUUGGUACUACAUGUACAGGAUAGGUGGGAGACUAUGAAGCAUGGACGCCAGUCUGUGUGGAGUCAUCCUUGUGAUACCACCCUUGUAGUACUGGGAUCCUAACCAUAGGCCUUGAAUCAGGUCUUGGAACACCGUCAGGUGGGCAGUUUGACUGGGGCGGUCGCCUCCUAAAAAGUAACGGAGGCGCUCAAAGGUAUCCUCAGCACGGUCGGAAAUCGUGCGAAGAGUGUAAAGGUAAAAGGAAGCUUGAUUGCAAGACAUACAGGUCGAGCAAGGACGAAAGUCGGACUUAGUGAUCCGGUGGUACCGCAUGGAAGGGCCAUCGCUCAACGGAUAAAAGCUACCCUGGGGAUAACAGGCUUAUCUCCCCCAAGAGUCCACAUCGACGGGGAGGUUUGGCACCUCGAUGUCGGCUCAUCACAUCCUGGGGCUGUAGUAGGUCCCAAGGGUUGGGCUGUUCGCCCAUUAAAGUGGUACGCGAGCUGGGUUCAGAACGUCGUGAGACAGUUCGGUCCCUAUCCGUCGCAGGCGUAGGAAAUUUGAGAAGACCUGUCCUUAGUACGAGAGGACCGGGAUGGACGUACCUCUGGUGUACCAGUUGUUCUGCCAAGGGCAUGGCUGGGUAGCUAUGUACGGAAUGGAUAAGCGCUGAAAGCAUCUAAGCGCGAAGCCAACUUCAAGAUAAGAUUUCCCACCGUAAGGGUAAGACCCCAGGAAGACUACCUGGUUGAUAGGUCGAAGGUGUAAGUGCAGUAAUGUAUUUAGCUUAUCGAUACUAAUAGGUCGAGGACUUGACCU